GAUGAACGCUGGCGGCGUGCCUAAUACAUGCAAGUCGAGCGAACAGACGAGGAGCUUGCUCCUCUGACGUUAGCGGCGACGGGUGAGUAACACGUGGAUAACCUACCUAUAAGACUGGGAUAACUUCGGGAAACCGGAGCUAAUACCGGAUAAUCUAUUGAACCGCAUGGUUCAAUAGUGAAAGACGGUUUUGCUGUCACUUAUAGAUGGAUCCGCGCCGCAUUAGCUAGUUGGUAAGGUAACGGCUUACCAAGGCAACGAUGCGUAGCCGACCUGAGAGGGUGAUCGGCCACACUGGAACUGAGACACGGUCCAGACUCCUACGGGAGGCAGCAGUAGGGAAUCUUCCGCAAUGGGCGAAAGCUUGACGGAGCAACGCCGCGUGAGUGAUGAAGGUCUUCGGAUCGUAAAACUCUGUUAUUAGGGAAGAACAAAUGUGUAAGUAACUAUGCACGUCUUGACGGUACCUAAUCAGAAAGCCACGGCUAACUACGUG
rnacentral:rRNA from 1 species